CCUACGGGAGGCUGCAGUGAGGAAUAUUGGUCAAUGGACGAGAGUCUGAACCAGCCAAGUAGCGUGAAGGAUGACUGCCCUAUGGGUUGUAAACUUCUUUUAUAUGGGAAUAAAAUGUUCCACGUGUGGGAGUUUGUAUGUACCAUAUGAAUAAGGAUCGGCUAACUCCGUGCCAGCAGCCGCGGUAAUACGGAGGAUCCGAGCGUUAUCCGGAUUUAUUGGGUUUAAAGGGAGCGUAGGUGGAUUGUUAAGUCAGUUGUGAAAGUUUGCGGCUCAACCGUAAAAUUGCAGUUGAAACUGGCAGUCUUGAGUACAGUAGAGGUGGGCGGAAUUCGUGGUGUAGCGGUGAAAUUCUUCGAUCUCACGAAGAACUCCGAUUGCGAAGGCAGCUCACUGGACUGCACCUGACACUGAGGCUCGAAAGUGUGGGUAUCAAACAGGAUUAGCUACCCGAGUAGUC
rnacentral:rRNA from 1 species